UACGAGGGGUGCAAGCGUUGCUCGGAAUUAUUGGGCGUAAAGGGUAGGUAGGUGGUCUCAUUUGUCUGGGGUGAAAGCCUUGGGCUCAACCCAAGAAGUGCCCCAGAAACGGUGAGACUAGAGUCCUGGAGAGGGUCGUGGAAUUCCCGGUGUAGCGGUGAAAUGCGCAGAGAUCAGGAGGAACACCCGUAGCGAAGGCGGCACUCUGGGCCGAUACUGACACUGAGGAGCGAAAGCGUGGGGAGCGAACAGG
rnacentral:rRNA from 1 species